CAUCGGCCUGUGUCAAUCGAGGAUGAGUUUAGUGAGGGUUGAAAGUUUUCGAUCUAGAUUGCAGAUCACUAUUGUCACUUUAUACAAACUGAAGGUAUGCGUCGUUGCGUGUUUGUUUUUGUGGGCAUUUGACUGAACAGCCCAGACAAAUAUUGCUACCAACAUGGCACUUCGAAACAGACCACCACAGUGAGUAAAAGUUAUUUUCCUUUAUUAAAUGUUGACGUUUUUGGGCUGUCUCUUCAGACACAAGCCAUCAGUAUCCCUGCUCUUUGCAUCUUGACAUGCAUGUCACCGCUGUUUGUUAACCUAGCUUUGCUGAUUUGUAUCUUGUGAUGUGAGUGUGUUUUUCUUAACAGGUGUUAGAUGACUGACAAGAUCUAUGGGGGGGCCCCCUUUGGGCCCCCCCAUACCAACUUAGUCUUCAAAGGAAUCUAGUGCCAUGGGACUCCAGUGUCUUCAAAACAUCCUCGGAAUACAUGUGUAUGAAUGGUCCACCGAAGUGGCUUCCAGAGCCAUCUUUCGGUCUUGGUCAGGAUUUGUUACAGUUGCCCUUCAAUGUAGCAGGCUACGGGUUUCUGAAGAAGCCUGCUUUACGUAGCACUGGAGUACAAAUAUUGUGCAAAAUGCUCAUGUAAUUGCACUAGCACUGGUAACCUGUAGAUUAGCUUAGUUUAACGUAAUUCGGUGCUGUCUGUCAAAUGUGUGGCUUACUUUAAGUCCACAAGGCCCUCUGGUAAACCACGUUGGAACACCCCUGGACAAGGUGAUUAGUCACUGGGUGUGUGCUAAAGUUUUGUUCCAUUUUUCACUAGUUGGUUAAUGCUGCUAUCCAUUUGGAUGUACGAAGUGGUAAAGUCGCAAAUCUCCCAGCUUUCUUGCGGCAUUUCACUGAGGCACGCCCCCUUUCGGUCGUAGUAUCUCGUCGCUUUCAAAGUAGAGCGAGCAAAUCUGUACAACUAGCAAAGAAGAUGGCUGCGCCCAUAGUCAAUGGGGAUUGAGCUGUAUUUUCUUUGUAUUUGUACCACGUUGGGGGUUGUAAUGUCGAUUUUAAAUCCUCUUACACAUUUGAUUUCAUUGCUGCUUUAAUCCGGUCACCAAUUUAUGCAUUGCACGGUCAUGCUUUGAGUGCAAUUCAAUGUAAAGUUGUGUUUUCAAGCUGGUUUGCUAAAGAGGCUAUGUUGCUAAUGAUGACUAGCCCGCUACUACCCCUCGUGGCUCGACAGAAACACGACAGAACUUGUUGAAAUUAAAAUUGGCGAAAAUGGCAAGAUAUUUUUGCAAUGUAAAAGGCUUGCAAUGUUAAUGUUUCUGUAAAGGCUGGCGACCAUUAUACUGGAUUAUUUCUUUUUUCCAAAAUAGUUUUCUUCUCAAACUCGUCGGACACAAAUGGCAAACUGGAAGGCUGGAGCAAGGGAAAUGCGUCACGUUCUCGCUGAAGCUGGUCGUUCGUAUCAGCCUACCAUCAAAAGGGAUAGCAGCAUAAGGUUUGGUAGAAUUGUUUGGAUGCUAGCGACGUGAUGGCGUAUGUACAAGAGCCUACCGUGGCCAGGCCACAGUUGCGACGGGCACGGCCAGAUGGCCUAGUGUGAGUGCAAUCUUGAUUACAUUUGUAUACUGUUUACCAUUGGAUGUUUAUGCAAUUUGGCUUAAUUCAUCCGCUGUAAAGCUGCAUUUGACUAUUCCAGGGUCGUUUUGUACAGGCUUUCAAUUGACCAUGUUGAUUAGUUUGUGGGAAGUUUUUAUUUUUUUAUUUUUUUUACCCUUGCUUACAAUCCAACGGUUGCGACCACUUAUGCAACUGGGCUGUGAACCUUGCAAUUCUAGUUGCAUAUUUGUACACGCAAGCUUGUCCAUUUCUAUCGCCAUCACUAACCCUAGCUUCAGCAUUUCCUUGUAGGCCAUUAGCUGACUUGUGUAUUGGAGCAAUGAUUUGGGUAUUUUAAGAUGCUUGAAAACCUAAAAUAAAGCAAAAUGCGUGUCUGGUGUGCAAGAGCCAAUUUGUUGGCUUGCAGUAGUCGAGGAGUUGACGUAGGUCGUAAGACAUCUGGAGGUUGUGGCAAUGGAGGCUUGUGGUAGAUCUGCCUUCCAAGAAAGGCUAAUUCUUCUGAAGCAUGAUUAAUAGUUUAGUAAAUUGAAUCUAUUCAUAUAGAACUAUAAAAUCCAAGACUGCAGCUAGUAACUUGGAUCGCAAUAUGUGGAAAGUAUUAGUCUUCAUUUGUAACAACAGAAUAAUUAACAUGACUAACUGGGUUUCUUCCAUUUUCUAACUAGGGGGACUUGACUGGUGAGUCUACUGGAUUAAUCAGUAGCGGUACUUUGCCCAACAGAUUUGAUGGCAUGACUACAGGGUGACAAAGACAAUUAUUCCCUGCCUAUCAAAAGAGACUUCUAAAACAUAUCUGCUAGAACAGUUCCUAUACUUUUUGUAUAAUUUGGUCAUGCUGCAAAUUCACUUUUUGUAGUUGCUCCAUAUUUAGUUCUUUGACAGCCUCACCUGGUAGAAAAGUCUAUUUAAAUCGGCUAAAUAUAAUGAACUAAAUUAAUAGCCAUGAAAUGUUGUCACUCAUACUAAUGGCAAAUACCCCCUUUCAGUUGGUGGUUCAACACUGAUGUCUCUCUAGGCUUGAGGGAGAGCUCAUAAGUAAAUUACACGAAUGUCCUGGAGCAAUUGGGAAUACACUUUUAUUUAGUCUACCUGACCAGGGACAUCUUUGAACUAUAGGUCACCUAACCCAAACUUUUCACUCUUGUUAGGUUGUCCUUUUCUCUUGUUUUAACCCGAAAGGGCUGAAAAUAUCAACAUUUCAGGUAUUCUGUUUGGAUAAUGUGCAGAACUUGUGGCUUCACUAAUAAAAAAAAAUUAACGAAUGUAUUUUUCUUAAUGUGGUUAAACUAUUUAAAGAUUUGUAUGAAAAAUAUUUCUGCUCAAUUUGUGGUCAAUGAAACUCAAAUUUUUUAAUUUGAUAAAAAACAACGAUGGGUUGAAGGUAUUUGCUUUGGGCAUCUUUUGAUAUUUUUAGAAUCUAGCUCCGUUGCCGUUAGAAAUGGUGUCUCCCAGUACUGCAAAGUGCUUCCACAAGUUUAAAAAAGAAUGGGCAGAAAAGGAACUGCCAACUAAAUCUAUUUAACAUGGGUAGAAAGUUUGCAUGGAAGCUCUUGGCUGCUGGUUCCCAACACAGCUCCACUGUUAGCCUGUGACCUUGCGUUUAACUUUUUUGGACUUUUGGUGACUUUCACAAAAGAGAAAUGAACUGGUUAAUACAAUAAACAAGACAUUUGAAACUUCAGCUACAUUUUUAUCUAUUUGUACUGCCUUUGAUUUCAACCCGUGACAUGUUUGUCAGGUGAUAACUAUGUACCUGUGACCGCAUAUCAUGGUACCAUUUUGAACUGUUUGUGGAUAUUGCAUU
ensembl:lncRNA